UCACCAACACUUGUUCAUUGUGACAGCAAAGGUAAAAACCAUGUGUUUGACCACCAUUUUCAUGCUGACAUGUGCUGCCUUUAUUCAAGGAUCAAGCAGUCAGGUCACUGUGACUCAGACUCCUUCAAUGAAAACUGUCAAUGUAGGAGAACCAGUGAGUCUGGGAUGCAAACUGAGUCAACCUGCUUAUACUUCUGGCAGCACUUCGUAUGUUGCCUGGUACCAACAAAAACCCGGAGAAACUCCUAAACUCCUCAUUUAUUGGACAAGCAGUCUUCAGUCAGGAACUCCAUCGAGGUUUAGUGGCAGUGGGUCUGGGACUGACUUCACCAUGACCAUCAGUGGAGUCCAGGCUGAGGAUACAGCAGUUUACUACUGUCAGAGUCUCCACUAUAUCAAUAGUCAGUAUGUGUACACUUUUGGUGGCGGCACUGAGAUCAUCAUCAGAUCGGGUGCUCCAGUCAAACCCACCCUCUCCCUGCUCCCCCCCUCUUCUGAGGAGUUGUCCAAGGGUUCGGCCACACUGUCCUGUCUGCUGAACAACUACUCCCCAAAAGGAGCGCAGGUGACUUGGCAAAAGGAUGGGAGGGAGGUGACGGCGGGCAUCCUGACGGGACAGGAGGCGUGGAGCAGCUCUGGGUACAGCCGCAGCAGCAUCCUGACCCUCAGCAAAGCCAGCUGGGAUGAAGGAGAUCUGUACACCUGCUUGGUGGCCCAUGAGGGCAGCAGACAGUCCACUGAGCUCAGGAGGACACAGUGUAGUAUCUAGAGAAAUGCCCAGCUUACUGGCGAGAAGCAACCUUCACUCAAAUGCAUGGGUUUAUAAAAAUAGAUGAGUAAAAAUUAGGCAGAAAUGCGAACACAAAAGCCCCCUUGCAGUUUCUAGCAUGCAUGCUUAGGUUUGCUGUAGUUAAGUGUGUAGGGAUGAGUUUGGGGAGAGGGGCACUUUGGUUAAGUUCAUCUGUUGCUUCUACUGUUGGUUUCUGUUGCUGAAUUUAUUUCUGCUUGUCUGCUGUUCAAAAGUUAAUAAAGUUUUUGGU